rnacentral:rRNA from 1 species
CCUACGGGGGGCAGCAGUGAGGAAUAUUGGUCAAUGGACGAGAGUCUGAACCAGCCAAGUAGCGUGAAGGAUGACUGCCCUAUGGGUUGUAAACUUCUUUUAUAUGGGAAUAAAAUGUUCCACGUGUGGGAUUUUGUAUGUACCAUAUGAAUAAGGAUCGGCUAACUCCGUGCCAGCAGCCGCGGUAAUACGGAGGAUCCGAGCGUUAUCCGGAUUUAUUGGGUUUAAAGGGUGCGUAGGCGGAUCGUUAAGUCAAUGGUCAAAUUGAGGGGCUCAACCCCUUCCCGCCAUUGAAACUGGCGUUC